rnacentral:rRNA from 1 species
UACGAAGGGGGCUAGCGUUGCUCGGAAUCACUGGGCGUAAAGGGUGCGUAGGCGGGUCUUUAAGUCAGGGGUGAAAUCCUGGAGCUCAACUCCAGAACUGCCUUUGAUACUGAGGAUCUUGAGUUCGGGAGAGGUGAGUGGAACUGCGAGUGUAGAGGUGAAAUUCGUAGAUAUUCGGAGGAACACCAGUGGCGAAGGCGGCUCACUGGUCCGGUACUGACGCUGAGGUGCGAAAGCGUGGGGAGCAAACAGGG